CAGGGUUCCCCACGCAGGCCUGAGGCGGGUGCGGGAGGAGGGCGCUGAAAACCCCGGUGCUCCGCGGGCCUCCAGCAGCCUCGCCGCCCCCGCCCCGCCCGGCGGCGGCGCUCACCACGGGGCGAGAAGCCUCCUGGGAGAGUUGGCCAAGGCCCUGCCGAGACCCCCAGACCCGGGCCUCUCCGCUCCUCUGUGAUGGAGGGGUGGGCGGCUAGUGCUAACUCCAAGCGUGACCCCGAAGGCUCACCCUCCUGGGAGGUCCGGCCCAUGGACCCUGCGGGAUUCCGGCAGGGACAGGAUCCCUGAGGGUCGUGGAGGCCGCUAACCAGAGCAGAGGGGUCCCGGAACGUUCCUUUUCCUCCCUCUGAGAAUAAAAGCAGCUCCUCCAAAAUAAGGGCUGAGGUUGACCUCCAUACCUGCCUUCUGCCUGGAAACCACUGCAGUCAGGAAGGUGAAGGUCUGUGACGAGGCAGCCCCUGGUGGGAAAGGACGACGGCCUGAACAGCCUCAGGCCGCCCACCCCAGGCUCCCCUGUCCCCUGACGGCCACCUCCCAGUCCCUGGGCCUCUGAGGGCUCACCUGAGACCUACUCGCCCACGGGGAGCACCCCCUCUCUUGCAACGUCUAUGGCUGCUUGAGACCACGAGCCACCUCUUCCGCGGGACUGGCCUUGGCCUUGAGCUCUGAUG
ensembl:lncRNA